GCCCGGGGCGCGGCAGGCUUCACGGCGCAGGACCCCCGCCGCCUCCCCGCCCUGCCACGGCCCUGCGCCCCGGAGCCGAGGGCGCUGGAGGAGAACGGCUGCUCUCUGUGGAUGUUUCUCCCACGGGGAAACAGCAAAACAGAACAGAGAAAUGACUGGGGCCAGCCUCCCCUGGCAAAGCAACCUCCUCCAACUUGCUGGGCCCAGGUUUCCACCAUCUCAUGCCAGGAUCCUCAAGAGCCUCCGCCUCCCUCAUCCGCCUCUCACAUCCCAGUGUGUCCUUCACACUUUAGCGAGAGUGAUUCCACUCACAGGCAAAUCUGACUGUGCCACGUCUGUUCAAAACCCCGUUGCACUCAGAAGGCCCUCAUCCUUCCUCGACUCUGAGGGACUGUCUUUGUCACGCUCACCCGUGCACCCCUGCAGCAGCUGGAUCCAGCUCCUGCAGUCUUGAGGGUGCUGCCGCUCUCUCUUGCCUGGGGGCCUCUGCACCUGAUGCUCCUGUUCCUGGUUGAAGUUUCUACUUAGAAUAACAGCAGUGAUG